rnacentral:lncRNA from 1 species
CCCUAUCUCAAAAAGAAAUUAAAAAAAAAAAAAGGAGCACUGCUCAGACAGCCUGUGAAUACCAACUUGGAGACCUGAGGCCUGUUGAUGGAUCUUGCAAUGAAAAUGGGCUGCUGGGGCCAAAGAGAUUUGGGAAUCACUGAGUUAGACAAAGCUGAAGGGGUGUCAUCACUGCAGCUCCUUUCAAAUCCUCUAGGAGGCCCUUCCCAAACUUACUUGGCUGUGAGACUAUUUUUCUUAUUUAUUUAUUUAUUUAUUUAUUUAUUUACGAGGCAGGGUCUCACUCUUGCCACCCAGGCUGGAGUGCAGUGGUGUGAUCACAGCUCACUGCAGCCUUGACUUCUCAGGCUCAGGUGAUCCUCCCACCUCAGCCUCCCAAGUAACUGGGACUGCAGGUGCACACAACUGUGCCCAGCUAUGAAACUAUUUUUCAGUGGAGCAUCUGUGGGGCUAGAGAUCUAUAGGUGACGUCAGCCUGGAGAACGCUAUUGUAGAACAUAGUAUGUGUUUAAUAAACACCGGUCAUUAUUGUAAUCUUUUUAAAGAAGGCAAACAGCCCUUCCUCUUGCUAGUCCUCAUCUGGACCAGAGGGCUUAUUCCACAGGCACCUGGCAGUCUCCCUCUCGGGCUUGGUGAAGGACACCUCUCUCCUGUUAUCGAGGUGGCUUUGGAGGAGUUUGGGAGGCUUUGCUGGCACUGACGUGGGUGGUGAGAAAGAGCUCUGGUUCUGGAGGGAUCCUGGUGCUGCCACUCCCAGCUGCAUGACCUUGGAUGAGUCCGUUAACUACCCUGUGCUAUGUUCCCAUGAGCGUACCUGCCCCUGGGGCUGUGUGAAGAACAGAUGGGACCAUGUGGUACAGCUGCUAGCACAGUGAGCAGUCAAUCACGGCUGUUGUUGCUAUCACCAUUGUCAUUAGCAGUAGCAAUGAUGGUGGUGCUCUAGCCCCAUCGGCACCGAUCCCUGACCCCCAUUCUGGGGGUAAGCCUUACUUGAGGAAUGUAAAAGGCUUAAAAGGGACAGACUUAAAAAAAAAAAUAGUUUCCUUUACUGAAAAGCAAAAAGCAGAAGCCUUAAGUUGCAUUUUAUUUACUGAGGUUUUAAAAAAAAUUGUGGCAAAAGAUAAAUAAAAUUUACCAUUUUAAUCAUUUGAAGUGUAUAAUUCAGUGGCAUUAAGUAAAUCUGUAAAGCUCUACGACCAUCACCACCAUCCAUUUCCAGACAUUUUUGUCAUCCCAAAGAGAAAUUCUGUACACAUUAAACAGUAACUCCCCACCACUCCCAACCUGAGGAGCAGUGUGGGACAGGACACCAUGCAAGGUGAAGACCCUCCCCAGCAUCCUGCGUUUUGCAAGGACCUAGUGCCUGCUCAGCUGUCACCCGUCAGGCAGAACACCGAAACUCAGCCACAAGCUGCUGCUGCCAUCCCCAGCAUAUAACGAAGGAAAAAUUAAGCAAGUGUGUGCUUCUUUAGCCUCCUCUCUUAAUACUGCAUCUUCAGAAUUAAAACUGUGGUGGGCCAGAGUCCUUUUGGUGGCCACGUAUUACCUCUGACCAUCACCUGCUGCUCAAACCCACACUCACGCCACUGCAUGAUCCCUUCCACCCCAGGGCCCUUGCACACGAUGAGCCCCUGGCCUGCAAUGCCCUUCCUUCACUUCCUUCAUCGUCACCUUCUCAGUAAAGCCCUCCCUGCCUCUUUUGUAAAUUUCUUCCCAUCCUCUAUACCCUUCCCACCUCUCUCCCCAUCUUUAGCUUUUCCCUGUAUCACUUAUUCAACACAGCAUAGAUUUUGUUGAAGGCAGGGGUUUCUGCCUUCUGUUUAAUGCUAGCUGCCCAGUGCCUAGAAAAGUGCCUGGCAUCCAGUAGGUGUUCAAUAGAUAUUUAUAGAGUUAAAUGCACUAAACUUAGGAGGCGGAAGUUGUUUUUUUUGGAGGCCUUUGCCCAUUUCACUCCCUCCUUCCCGUUCCACCUUCUAGGUUUCUCAUUCCCUCUGCUUCUUCUCUUUUGCUGGCUCUGGCCUGCAGCCCUCUUGCCCCUGGUGUAAAGGGCUCAAAACGCCAGACAGCUCUGCCGCCAUGGGGAGGAGACCCUGACUGAGAAGCCAGGGCCCCGGCCUCCAGGGUCACCAGUACCUUGGGCAGGCCGGGGUGUCGCUGGGGCUUGGGUGACUCCACCAGGCAUGGAGGGGGUGGGUACUCCCAGCUGGCUCGCCAACCUUCGCUUCUUGCCUCGCAAAGGCAACCUGGCGGAGGGUCUGUGGGUCAAGCAGAGUCCAGCUCUAGUUUCUCCCCUUCCAGGCUGUGCGCCCUCAGCCAGGCCUCUCCUCGCCUACAGGGCUCGCGGACACUUCUGACCCUCACUGAGGUCGUAAAGAUUACAAGUCAGUGGUCCACAACGACUGGCGUCGGGCCCGCCGCAUACCCACUAUGUACGACUGGCCGCUAAGUCAGCCGAGGCCCUGGGGCUCCGCUCCACAACCCAGCCCACGGUCAGCUUUCCUGGGCUGCUCCGUCCCGCGAGGCCAUCGCCCCAUUCAUAUUCGGCAGGGCAUUUCCACGCGUCCCGUCUCAGGCAAGCCCCAGAGCACCCUUUUUCGGGCAACACUGUGCCCACUUCACUGGAGAGGGAACUGAGGUCCACGUCAUUGGGAGAGGAACACGUGACAUAUUGAGCUCUUUCCUCAGCAAGUGACCUAACCCGCCUUGCCCUCGGCCGUGAGCAGAGGGCCAGACCGGAAGUCCGCUAGCUCUGCUGUUCCGAGGCCCGCCAGUCUCCAAACCCCGGUCUUAGAUCGAGGUCUCUGGCCGUUUCCCUCCGCAGCAAAACCCUUGUUCCAGGACUACACCAGACGGGUCACACGACCUAGAUCGGCACGGUCACAUGUCCCGCAGUCCGGUCAUGUGCACCCUCGGACCAAUCCCAGCGGCCAGGAAGGAGAGGCAUUGUGAUUGGCCCAUGCCCUUCAGGGGGCGGGACUCCUGCUGAGGAGGGCCUUCCCCGUUCUCACCUCUGCGUUCCGCGUGAAUCUCGCUCACUCGCGAGAUUGGGCGUCUGACAGGUGCCCUUAGGUCCCACAAUGCACA